AAACUUUCAACAACGGAUCUCUUGGCUUUCGCAUCGAUGAAGAACGCCGCGAAAUGCGAUAAGUAGUGUGAAUUGCAGAACUUUGUGAACCAUCGAAUCUUUGAACGCAAAUUGCGCCUUCUUUCGGAAGGCAUGUCUGUUUGAGGGCACCAU
rnacentral:rRNA from 1 species